UACGUAGGGACCAGGCGUUGUUCGGAUUUACUGGGCGUAAAGGGCGCGUAGGCGGCAAUUCAAGUCAUCUGUGAAAUCUCCGGGCUUAACCCGGAACGGUCAGGUGAUACUGUUUUGCUAGAGUGCGGAAGGGGCAAUCGGAAUUCUCGGUGUAGCGGUGAAAUGCGUAGAUAUCGAGAGGAACACCAGAGGUGAAGACGGGUUGCUGGGCCGACACUGACGCUGACAGCGCGAAAGCCAGGGGAGCAAACGGG
rnacentral:rRNA from 1 species